CACGUAGGGGGCGAGCGUUGUCCGGAAUGAUUGGGCGUAAAGCGUCCGCAGGUGGCUGUGUAAGUCUGCUGUCAAAGAGCAAAGCUCAACUUUGUAAAGGCAGUGGAAACUACACGGCUAGAGUGCGUUCGGGGCAGAGGGAAUUCCUGGUGUAGCGGUGAAAUGCGUAGAGAUCAGGAAGAACACCGGUGGCGAAGGCGCUCUGCUAGGCCGCAACUGACACUGAGGGACGAAAGCUAGGGGAGCGAAUGGG
rnacentral:rRNA from 1 species